AUAACUUUUAUGGAUGGAAAGUAAGUUGUUGAUAUGCUCUAAGAUAAAAAGUGAGCAAUAACUUAACAUGCUUCAGUGUUUAAUUAAUAUUUGUACACAUUGGUAAGACACUAGACAAAUUGUAAGUGGUCAUAACUCUCAAGAGAGUGGAAUCUUGAGCUUUUCUUUUUUUCUUUCUCCUUAUUGCAACUCAUUCUUUAAAGAACUACUUUUUCCAUACACAUCAUCAAUUCUAUCUUUACCUUCACAGGUAUUCCUUAUAUAUAUAUUUAUAUUAUAAAGAGAACUAUGCAUCACUACGUCUACAAGUCCCACGUGAUAUCAAACAAUUCUCGAGUCUACUCAGAAGGAUACCAGAUUCGGAAAGGAAAGAUAUAUGUCAAGAAUAAUAAUCAUAGAUUUAGGGGAAUGUAUCCAAUUUCCAGAUAAACAAAGACGUUCAAGCAAGGAAGUUUGCUAGAAAUAAAUUGAUUGACAACUUCAAAUAUAACCCUUAGAUCAAAGAAGUUCAAUAGGAUCAAUAAGAAGAAAACCAGCGCAUCAGUUUGAAACAAACUCAAGUUGAGUCGAGGAAGCAUGAGGUUUACAGAAAAGGAUAUCUCAGACCCAAGACAAAGCUCACAGAACUCAAGAGCAUAAUUAAAAUACUUCCGAAUACAUUGUCCUUAAAAGAAUCGAAAGCGUGUAAAAAUAUCACUUCGUAGUCUGGAAGAGAAGUUAAACAACAUUCUUCAAGAGAGUAACAAAAGCAUAAUCGUGACUUUGCUUUAAUGCAAGUUCAUGUUGAAGUAGAUUUUGUAGAGUUCCAAAAACAAAUGCACACAACUUUGGCUAAUAGCUAAAAUAUUUCCUCAAAUAUUUUAGAAAGAUAGUUAGGUGCACAACCAAACCAAAAGCAGUUCAUAAAACCUCGGAAGUAAUCAAAUGCUUGUUCAAAAUUCUUAAAAUUUCGUAUUCAAACAAGCGUGUAUAACAUUCGUAGCAAGGAUGAAAGAGAAAAUUAAACUCCUUUUAGAAAAGAAACUCCAAGGUAAAAAUUUGCACACAAUCUGGUAAGGAAAUAAGUGGUGUGUUACAAACAAACCGGUUUCCACUAAACAAGGAAGCUUUCCAAAACUUCAUUUAAAAUGGCGCAUGCCAACUUAAAAUUAAUUUCGUCAAAAUUGGACAAUGGUUUUAAUCUCAAUCAAACAACAGAAAAUAAAUUCCGUUUAAUAUUUCGUCAAAGAGAAUUCGAAACUUCUUUAAAAGGUUCAAAACAAGACUCCAAAAGCGUUCUUGAAAUCACCAUCUCGGAAGAACAUUCAAGAAGUUUAAGAUGUACUAAAAAGGAGUCAAGCCUUGCAAGAAAGGAUCUUAAUUUAAAGUAGUUCAAACAAGAUCCACUAGACAUGAAACAUCAAACAAGUUUUAAAUUGAUCCAAAAGAAUACAAAAGUCAUAGAAAAAGACAAAUCAAUCAUUUGUAAUUUUUAAAUGACAAAUCUUUAACUAAAAACUCUUGUAGAGAUAAUGGGAGAAUAAACAAUGCACUAUCUUGAAACGAAUCAAACCGAACAGUUAGCAAUUAAUCACAUAGGCAAACCAAGUAUAAUAUGCACACCCAACCAAUGUCACACAAAUGCAUAUGAUGCAUACCUCUCCCUAGCAUGAUGCGUUUUGACGAGUGAGUGUGGGGGGUUUCGGCUAGCAUCCCUAUCGUCAAAAACAAAACCGUGAGGCCUUGUGUGCCAAAGCGGACAAUAUCGUGCUAGCGGGUGGUCUGGGCUGUUACAGGACCAAUUGAGCAGCUAGUGAACGAGUCAAAGGCCAAAUCAUACACACCAGUGAAAAAUUAUACCGAUAUCUUCUUAAUUUAUCAGGGUUUGUGAAUCUUGAUGCUGCUGCACCCGCACAUAAUGACUGUGAUAGAUUAAAACACUAAUUUGGAUAUGUGAUAAUUCACACAAUUCAGAUGUAUGUACAUAAAAUGGUUUAGAUCUAAUAAAUUAAAUAAAAAUAUGCAAAUAGUAUAUAGUAGUGGAAUUAAGCAUAUGCAAAGAAUAUAAAUUAAAGCUAGAAUGUGACCUUAUUAGCAACAUUAACAGCAUAAUAAGAGAAGACCUGUAGAGUUUAGACCUUAUAGUUAAUUUCCAAAGGAGCUUCUCUGACUGCCUCAUAUUUUUCAAGGAUAGUUUUGUCAUCAGAUUUUGAGAUGAGUUCAAAUUAUUGGAUGGGGGUGGACAAGAGUUCUAGUUGGGGACCUUAGGGAGACAUGGCUUUAAUAUAAAACUGUGUGUUAAUUAUGGCAAAAAGCAACACAUAUCUGCAAGCUGUCAAGAAAUUAAUCCAAAUGAAAUAGCAACAAGAAAUUAAUAUGUGAUCAAGAAUGUUCCUGACACACAAAGCCAAUGCAAGCAUGGACAAGAAUGGUCAGAUAAUUGCAAGUAAUUAACCUCCAAGUUCUUAAAAUCUCCUAUAUAGUUAAGUUUUAAAUGACAGGAUUAUAUCAGAAAUUAAACAAGGACUAGACUAGAAACAACUAACACAACAGCAAGGGUUGGUGACAUAUUAUUAAGAAGUCAGUCUGAAUGUAUUUCUUAACCUUUCAAAUAGCUUUGGUUGUUGAUAAAAACUUAACUAACAAUAAUAAGUAAUCUCUUCCUCCAAAUUUAAAUGAUAAAGACUAGACUAGACUAGAAUAAAGAUUGAUUGCCCUAAACUUAGAAAAAUAAGUAUCUACUUAAUUCCUUAUCAAAUUUUGUUCCGUUUAAUCGUAUCUACUUAAUUCCUUAUCAAAUUUUGUUUGCAGAAUGUACAACUUUAGAAAGAUUAGAGGGUUCCAAAAUUAAUUUUAACAUAAGGAUUAACGAAGUAAUUAUGUUAGGUAGUGUCAAUGCAAGGAUUAGAUAAAGAUGAAAGGGAGAAGAUUCUUGGAGAUUUUAGGAACAUUGUUUACUAAAAAUUAUGUAAUAUCAUCAUGCUCCUAUAAUCAUUGUUACUUUAUACCAACAUCGUUUUCCUCUUUACCUAAUGACAUAUUGGCCCUUCAGGUGUUAUAUUAUAAUAGAGUGAUGAUGAUAGUGCUUAAUCAUUGCAAGAUUAUGCUUUAGAAUCCUUAAUAUUUCAUUUCUUUUUUAUUUUUUCUUUCUCUCUAUCUCUUUACCUGAGAAGCCUGUUUAGUGAAUAGCAGAGUGCUUUGGUGAAACAUAAUAGCAGAGAGACUAAUAAUAAUUAGUUAGGAGUUAAGGCUUGUCAACCAAAAAGAGGAGCAAAUAAAGAACAGUAAUUGGUCAUUGAUGUCUAUGAAUGAAAGAUGCCCAAGUACUUAGAAAAUUUGUUGACCAACUUCAAGUCAUUAAAAUGUGAAGUAUGCAUCAGUUUCAAAUUUUGUUAUCAUUAGCAUAAAUAAGAUCAAGAAGCAGAAAUCAUAAGUAACACCCUCAUUAGCAGGAAACAUUAGGUGUAAGAAAUAACUUUUAUGGAUGGAAAGUAAGUUGUUGAUAUGCUCUAAGAUAAAAAGUGAGCAAUAACUUAACAUGCUUCAGUGUUUAAUUAAUAUUUGUACACAUUGGUAAGACACUAGACAAAUUGUAAGUGGUCAUAACUCUCAAGAGAGUGGAAUCUUGAGCUUUUCUUUUUUUCUUUCUCCUUAUUGCAACUCAUUCUUUAAAGAACUACUUUUUCCAUACACAUCAUCAAUUCUAUCUUUACUUUCACAGGUAUUCCUUAUAUAUAUAUAU
rnacentral:lncRNA from 1 species